GUGACCUAAGCUGUCUCACUUGAAUAAGAUGCGGCUUGUUUUACUAGAGAAAGAUGAUCAACAAUGUACUGCUAACAAAUAAACAGGACAUGUAAUAAGCAAUAUCAAAAUGAGAGAAAGGAAAGAGACAGAGAAAAUGAGAGAUAUUUAUUAUGAGAAAUUGGCUUAUGCAAUUAUGGAGAGUGAGAAGUCCCACAGUCUGCCAUCUACAAGCUGAAAACUCAGAAAAGCAAGUGGUGCAAUUCAGUCUGAGACCAAAGGUGUGAGAAUCAGGGGAGCUGAUGUUAAUCCAAGUCCAAGGGCGAGAGAAGAGGAGAUAUAUUUCAGCUCAAGCAUGCAGGAAAUACUUCCAAUACGAUCAAUUUUAAGCUACCAAUGUGAUGUCAACAAACUUGUGAAAUUUCUAAAAUAUUUGCAAUCAACUAUCAUGAGCCUAAACAACUUGGCUCCAGCGUAUCACUGGAAUAUAUGGAAGGCAUGAUUUGGAAUUGUAAUGUGGUGAUCGGGAGAAUACAUAACACAAUAACACCUGAGCUUUGUGGAUAUAUGAGAGAUGAGUGUCCAGGGAUGGAAACAGCCAUUGCUAAGAAAUGAGGAUCUGGCAUUUUUGAGGAAUAGUAAACAAGCCAACAGGGCUGGUGCCAAGUAAAUAAAGAGGAAUCAUGUUGGAAAUGAAGUGAAAGAGGA
rnacentral:lncRNA from 1 species